GCUCAACUUUGAAAUCUGGCUGUUUUACAGUCCGAGUUGUAGUCUCGAGAAGUGUUUUCCGCGUUAAACCGUGUAUGAGUCUGUUGGAACACAGCGUCAUAGAGGGUGAGAACCCCGUUCAUGACACGGCUUUUAAUGCUUUGUGAUACAUUUUCGAUGAGUCGAGUUGUUUGGGAAUGCAGCUCAAAUUGGGUGGUAAAUUCCAUCUAAAGCUAAAUAUUGGCGAGAGACCGAUAGCAAACAAGUACCGUGAGGGAAAGAUGAAAAGCACUUUGGAAAGAGAGUUAAAAGUACGUGAAAUUGUCGAAAGGGAAACGCUUGAAGUCAGACGUGCACGGGAUUUAUUCCUAUUGCAGGCCAACAUCGGUUUUACGAGCCGGAUAAAGGUACAAGGAAGGUAGCAGUUUCGGCUGUGUUAUAGCCUCGUACUGAAUACGGAUUGUGAGACCGAGGGACGCAGCGCGCCGCAAGGCAAAGGGUCCGCCCUUUUCGCGCUUAGGAUGUUGGUGAAAUGGCUUUAAUCGACCCGUCUUGA
rnacentral:rRNA from 1 species